rnacentral:rRNA from 1 species
UACGGGGGGGGCAAGCGUUGUUCGGAAUUACUGGGCGUAAAGGGCUCGUAGGUGGCCAACUAAGUCACACGUGAAAUCCCUCGGCUUAACCGAGGAACUGCCUGUCAGACUGGAAGGCUUGAGACCGGGAGAGGUGAGUGGAAUUCCCAGUGUAGCGGUGAAAUGCGUAGAUAUUGGGAGGAACACCAGUGGCGAAGGCGGCUCACUGGACCGGAACUGACGCUGAGGCGCGAAAGCGUGGGGAGCAAACAGG